rnacentral:rRNA from 1 species
UGGGGAAUAUUGCACAAUGGGCGAAAGCCUGAUGCAGCAACGCCGCGUGAGUGAUGAAGGUUUUCGGAUCGUAAAACUCUGUCCUCAAGGAAGAUAAUGACGGUACUUGAGGAGGAAGCCCCGGCUAACUACGUGCCAGCAGCCGCGGUAAUACGUAGGGGGCUAGCGUUAUCCGGAUUUACUGGGCGUAAAGGGUGCGUAGGCGGUUUUUCAAGUCAGGAGUUAAAUUCUACGGCUCAACCGUAGCCAGCUCUUGAAACUGGAAGACUUGAGUGCAGGAGAGGAGAGUAGAAUUCCUAGUGUAGCGGUGAAAUGCGUAGAUAUUAGGAGGAAUACCAGUAGCGAAGGCGGCUCUCUGGACUGUAACUGACGCUGAGGCACGAAAGCGUGGGUAGCGAACAGG